rnacentral:misc_RNA from 1 species
UGAGAAUUAUUUCAAAGAAAGUUGCUUAUCUUAUUUUUUCCUAUUAUUUAUUAAAUUAUAAAAGUUGAUAUAAGCUAAUUCGUUUGACGAGUAAUUAUUUGAAUUAUAAUUAUCAACUUUAUUUGAAACUGUAAUUUUAUAUUUAGAGUUUCAUUUUAUUAGUUCAUUGACAUAUUGAGAAAAAUUAAAUUUUAACAAUUAUUAGAAUCAAUUUUAAGGCACAAUUAGUUUUUUACUAAUUGA